rnacentral:lncRNA from 1 species
GACACAGUGUUCUGCCUCUCCUGAGUAAGCAGCAACAACGCACCAUCUUGGAAUCAGGGGACGGCCCUCACCAGACAACUAAAUCUGCAGACACCUUGGACUUCCCAGCCUCCAGAACUGUGUCUUUCUGGCAACUGUCUAAACAUAAACCAGAGAAGGGCAAGGCAGACUCAGGAAGGACAAAUAGAAGGCUAUUUUCAUAAAUCGGGCAUACAAUGGUGGACAAAACAGCUGCCUUUCUUCCCCGUAUGGAGCUUACAGUAUAGUGAAUAUUUCAUGGGACUAGUAUCUACAGAAGGUGUUUUGGGAAGCACAGCUUUGGAGAGAGUAAUUUGCCAACAUUGCACAGAAUAAAGGCACCAUGAGGGCCCAAGGAAGGAAAAGAUUUGCAG